rnacentral:rRNA from 1 species
GACGAACGCUGGCGGCGUGCUUAACACAUGCAAGUCGAACGGAAAGGCCCUGCUUUUGUGGGGUGCUCGAGUGGCGAACGGGUGAGUAACACGUGAGUAACCUGCCCUUGACUUUGGGAUAACUUCAGGAAACUGGGGCUAAUACCGGAUAGGAGCUCCUGCUGCAUGGUGGGGGUUGGAAAGUUUCGGCGGUUGGGGAUGGACUCGCGGCUUAUCAGCUUGUUGGUGGGGUAGUGGCUUACCAGGGCUUUGACGGGUAGCCGGCCUGAGAGGGUGACCGGCCAACAUGGGACUGAGAUACGGCCCAGACUCCUACGGGAGGCAGCAGUGGGGAAUAUUGCACAAUGGGCGGAAGCCUGAUGCAGCAACGCCGCGUGCGGGAUGACGGCCUUCGGGUUGUAAACCGCUUUCGCCUGUGACGAAGCGUGAGUGACGGUAAUGGGUAAAGAAGCACCGGCUAACUACGUG